UACGUAGGGGGCUAGCGUUGUCCGGAUUUAUUGGGCGUAAAGAGCGUGUAGGCGGCCAUGUAGGUCCGGUGUGAAAACUCGAGGCUUAACCUCGAGAUGUCAUCGGAAACUAUUUGGCUAGAGUCCGGAAGAGGAGAGUGGAAUUCCUGGUGUAGCGGUGAAAUGCGCAGAUAUCAGGAAGAACACCAAUGGCGAAAACAGCUCUCUGGGACGGUACUGACGCUGAGACGCGAAAGCGUGGGGAGCGAACAGG
rnacentral:rRNA from 1 species